GCCAACAAGGUCAGUUCAGGAAAUGUGGUGUUCCGACUUGUCGUUCCGGGCUGGACAGGACGGAGGGGACUUCAACGGAUCUCACUUUAGGGAAGUACUGCGUUUGCACGGAGAACAGCGAUCUUCCCUGAGGGAUCUGGUUGCACAAAGAGAAGCCCUGAGCUCUUCAGGAGUCCAUCCUCCAAAAAAGCGGCUGGGAGGGCUGCGCAGGUGCAGGAUCUUUUUGGCUACUGGUGUGAAGAACAGACUGAAGAAAGGCAAAGGUAGAGGCAGGGAGCCCAAUUAGGAGACAGUAGUCCAGAUAACACCUACUAAGAAGAUAGAAGACUUACUUUCAUCAUCUGAAUCAAAUCCAAAGAGUGUCUGACAUUUCUUUUGUGCAAGGUAUUCUUUUAAAUAUUUUUAAGAAUUUAGGUCCAAGAUGGCGACGUAGGCAGACCCUGAACUCACCUCCUCCAGGGACACAACAAAUCUGCACCUACACAGAGAGCAAUUCCUCCUGAAGAACUGAGGACUGACUGAACAGCUGAACAACAAAAGUAAGAGCGACCACAUAGAGAAUGGCAAGAAAGACGGAGACAUGGUAAUAGGGAAUCCCCACUCUCACCCCUGUAAACUGCAGUGGGGAGGGACAGUAAUAAGGGACUAUGAGCAGAUUCAUCUGCUCUGAGGUACAGAAAAAAAAGUUGCAGUUUAAAAGGGCAACUAGAAUAUAAAGGAUCUAGCCCUAGAACUCUGCCAAAUGGCAGGGAGACUGCUGGAACUUUCUCUAGGUCAGUGGGGCUGUCAAGCACCACAGUUUACACAUUCCCCAUCCACCUUGACAGCAUGGACAGGAGCAUAGUCCAGACACCCUACCACCUCAAUGAGCCCUGGUCCUCUAUCCAUACCAGCCCCAACUGUCUCACUAAGGAGGCCCAGUACAGUGCAUACCGGGUCACCCUUGUCAGUGUACACUGUAGCUCAAGACUACUUGACAAGGUAACACAGGCACAAAGCACCCUGGAACGCUCCAGACCCACACCACUUCAGCUCCAGACAACUUGCCAGGACACUGUGGUCCACACCUGCUUCUGCUCCAGCUGCCCGAAAAGGGCACCCCACACAGAAUGCCCCAGGAUGCCUCAGCCUGCACCCACUUUAGCUUCUGCUAUCACCCACAACACAAGAGAGCCCUGAGACCACCCUGUACCCACUUCAGCUUCAGCUGUCCUGCCGGUGUGCCCUCUGUACAGAAAACCCCAGGAGCAGCCCAGCCUACACCUACUUCAGCUCUGGCCGUCCCACCAGCAUGGCCCCAGCACAGGGAGUCCCAGGACAUUCAGCCUAUGACAGCUACAGCUCUAGCUAGCUAGCCAAAGUCAUCAGGCACACACAAUCCACACAGGGGAUAACCAUACACAGGAUCAUUCCUUCAAGUUUAGGAGAAGUAGCUGUUCCACCUAAUUCACAGAAAUAAACACAGAAAGUCAAGCAAAUGGGGACAGAGGAAUAUGCUCCAAAUGAAAGAACAAGACAAAGCCUCAGAAAAAGAACUAAAUAGAACAGGGAUAAGCGAUCUACCUGAUAAAGAGUUCAAAGUAACAGUCAUAAACUCAGGACUUCAACAAAGAAAGAGAAAAAAUAAAAAUAAAUAAAUAAAUAAAUAAAUAAAUAAAUAAAAUUUUUAAAAAAUGAGUAUGGCUUAAGGGCUAUCUUGGAUAACACUGAGUAAACAAACAUUUACAUUACAGGGGUCCCAAAAGAAUGAAGAAAUAAUACCUUAAAACUUUCCCAACCAGAGACAUCCAGGCUCAGGAGCACAGAGAAUUUGGAUCAAGGUGAACCCAAGGAGAUCCAUACCACUACACAUAAUAAUUAAAAUGUCAAAGAGGGAAGAUUUUAAAAAGUAUAGUUCCUUACCCAGCACUAUGAAAUUAAAAGCUCUGAGAAUAGGCAUGAAAACCUGCAUUAAAUAACAAGCUUUCUGUGUGACCUUAUGCUUACUAAAGUUUUUAAAGAAUUACUUGAUAUCAGAAUGACAGAUUUUAAAUUCCUUAAGAUUGCUUAAUGUGUGUACCAGUUUAUAAUUAUGUGUGUAUAUGGUGGGGUUAGGGGGUGAUGCAGGGGCCGGAAGAGUGCUAAAGUUUGACAGACCUGAUAGUCUGGGAACUGGUUAUGAAAAUGACAGUUUUCUUGAGAGUGGAGAGUGUGGCAAUCGGGACAACAGAGAGAAAGUAUAUGAAUACACAGUGAUGACUGAAAUGUCUUACGUUUAUGGUGCCUGAUAGCUGUGGUCCGUGCUGUAAAUCGCUCUGUGAAAUCGUGUUAUGGUGAUAGUUUUCAAAAACUAUUAUGAGAAAUAAACUAGAUAGACGGAAACAUAUCAUGUAAAACAUGUAUUUAAAUUUGACCGAUUCCAGGGAGUGUGGGUGUGACUCAGUCAGUUAAGCAUCUGACUCUUGUUUUCGGCUCAGGUCAUGAUCCUGCAGUUUGUGAGAUUGAGCCCCAUGUCAGGCUCUGCACUGACAGCUCAGAGCCUGCUUGGGAUUCUCUCCUCCCCUGCCCCACCGUCCCCUGCUGUGCGGGUGCACACAUGCACACUUUCUCUCUCAAAAUAAACAUAAGAUUUUUUUUCACUGAUUCCUAACAGAUAAAUAUUGGUGUUCUUAGGAAUGUGGUAUCCUUUUAAAGCCCAAAUAUCUCAUGACUCACUAUUUUGGAUAAUUUUUCUCACUACCACUCUCAAACCAAUAUAUAACUUUAAUUUAACAUGCUGUAACCACCAGGAUGAACAAUUCAAAUAACCUAGCAGUUUAUCUUAUUUCUUAACUUUCUUAUCUUCAGUGACAUCAGUCCUGGAACUUCUUUCUUAAGAAAAAUAAACAAACUUUAAAUAGAGACAAUAUAUACUGAAGGCUUUCUACUCUAUUAAAAUUUGCCACUAAUGUUAAGCUGAUCUAUUAAAGAGAAUGUGAAAAAUAAAUAUGUAUUUUAGAAUUUAAAAUUCAAAAGUAUUGGUUUAAAAAUGUCUUAUAUAAGCCCAUAUCAUUUUAGAUUAUUAUGUUGGGCAAAUGAAACCUAGUUAUCCUUUAAGAAUUAGUGAAUGUUGGGGUGCCUGGGUGGCUCAGUUGGUUAAGUGUCCAAUUCUUGAUUUCUUGAGAUCAUCUGUCACAUGAUCUCAUGGUUCAUGAGAUUAAUCCCCACAUCUGGCUCUGCACUGAUAGGGCAGAGCCUGCUUGGGAUUCUCUCUCUCCCUCUCUCUGCCCUUCCCUCCCUCACAUGUGUGCACAUGCUCUAAGUAAAUAAAUAAACUUAAAAAAAAAAAAGUAAAAUGUCCAAGUGGUAGGAUGUGUGUGUCUGUGUGUGUGUGUGUGUGUGCACGCACGCAUGAGAACUGGGAAAAGGAAGGCAGAAGUUAUUAGAAUCUUUUAGAAUUAUUCAUGAUUUCACCUAAAAGGAUUUGAAGAUAUGUACUAAAAACAUUCUAAUACCACAUUCUAAAUUACAUUAUUUCUUGGUAAACCUGAUGUUUCAUAUAUCCUACUAAUCAUUUUUAAGUAGCUUUAAAAAUGUUUUCACAAACUGGGGCGCCUGGGUGGCUCAGUCAGUUAAGCAUCUGACUUUAGCUCAGAUCAUGAUCUCUCGGUUCAUGAGUUCAAGCCCCAUGUCAGGCUCUGUGCUGACACCCGAAUCCUGGAGCCUGCUUCAGAUUCUGUGUCUCCCCCUCUCUCUGCUCCUCUCAUGCUCUGCCUCUCAAUAAUAAAUAAACAUUAACAUUUUUUUAAAUGUUUUCACAAACUAAUAUACAAUACCAUUUAUAUUAGCAUCCCAAGAAUGAAAUACUUAGGCAUAAAUCUAACCAAAUAAUUAUAAGGUCUACAUGAGGAAAAUUAUAAAACUAAUGAAUGAAUCAAAAAACUAAAAUGGGAGAGAUAUUCCAUAUUCAUGAAUAGGAAAACUCAAUAUUGUCAUGAUGUCAAUAUCUUGAUCUACAAAUUGAAUUAAAUCCCAAUCAAAACCCCAGCAGGUUAUUUUACGGGUAUCAACAAAUUGAUACUAAAGUUUAUAUGCAGAGGAAAAGACCCAGAAUAGCCAAUACAAUAUUGAAGAAAAAAGUUGGAAGACUAACGCUAAUAAGGACAUUGUUGUACUGGUGAAAGAAAAGACAAAUACAUCAAGAGAACAGAACAGAAAAGAGCCCAGAAACAGACCCCCAUAAAUAUAGUCAACUGGUCUUUGAUAAAGGAGCAAAGGCAAUAAUACAGUCGAGUGGAGAUAGUCUCAUCAACAAAUGGUGCUGGAAUAACUGGACAUCCACAUGCAAAAAAAAAAAAAAAAUCUAGACACAUGCUUUAUACCUUUCACAAAGAUUAACUCAAAGUGGAUCACAGACAUAAACAGAAAAUGCAGAACUAUAAAACUCCUAGUAAAUAAGCUUCUGGGUAUGGUGAUGCCUUUUUACAAUACUAUAGUCAUGAGCCAUGAAAGAAAUAAUUGAUAAGCUCGUCUUUGUUAAAAUUAAAAACUGUGCUCUGUGAAAGACAAUAUCAAGAAAAUUAAAAGAUAAGCCACAGAUUGGAAGAAAAUAUUUGUAAAAGACACAUCUGAUAAAGGACUAUUACCCAAAAUCUACAAAGACCUUUUAAAAUUCAACAAAAAGAAAACUAAUAAUCUAAUUUAAAAAUGGGCCAAAAAUCUUAACAGACACCUCACCAAAGAAGAUAUACAGAUAAAAAAACAAGCAUAUGAAAAGAUGGUCCCCACCAUACGUCAUCAGGGAAAUACAAAUUAAAACAAGAUACCACUAUACUCCUAUUAGAAUGGCCCAGUUUUGUAACACUGACAACAGCAAAUGCUGGUGAGGAUGAGCAACAGGAACUCUUAUACAUUGCUGGUGGGAAUACAAAACAGUACACCCACUUUGGAAGACAGUUGGGUAGUUUCCUUCAAAACUAAACACUCUUAUACAUUUCAGCAGGUGUGCUCCUCAGUAUUUACCCAAAGGAGUUGAAAUUUAUGUCCACACGGAAACCUGCACACGAAUAUUUACAGCAGCUUUAUUCAUGAUUGCCAAAACUUGAAACCAACCAAGAUGUCCUUCAUUAGGUGAAUGGAUAAAUAAACUGGUAAUCCAGGCAAUGGAAUAUUAUUCAGCACUAAAACGAAAUGAGCUAUAAAGCUAUGAAAAGACAUGGUGGAACCUUAAAUGUACAUUACUGAGUGAAAAAAGCCAAUCUGAAAAGGCCACACACUGUAUAAUUCCAACUAUACAAUAUGGUGGAGAAGGUAAAACUAUGACAAUAGUAAAAACAUCAGUGGUUUCCAGAGGUGAGGGUUGGGAGACGGAGAGAAGAAAUGAACAAGUGGGGAGCACAGAGGACUUUUAGGGCAGUGAAAAUACCCUGUGUGAUACUAUAUUUAUCCAAACCCAUAGAUUAUAUAUAACACCAGUAGUGAACCCUAAGAGAAACUGGACUUUGGGUGGUUAUGAUGUGCCACUAUGGGUUCAUCCUUGGUUAAAAAAAAAAAAAGUACUCUUCUGGUGAGUAAUUUUUUUUUGUUUUUUUUGUUUUUUUUUUCUGAGAAUGUUGAUAAUGGAGAAGGUUAUGUAUAUAUGGGGAUCGGGAUAUAAUGGGAAAUGUCUGUACCUCCCUCUCAAUUUUACUGUAAACCUAAAACUGCUCUAAAAAAUAAAGUCUUAAAAAACUAA